GCCUAUCUGAAAAGUCGCACGGAUACCAGAAACUAUAAUAUUAAACACUGGUCGACAUGUAUCCUUUUCUUUUACGAAGUUAAAAGAAGUAAGACUAAGUACGGUAGACGCCCUCGAGAGAAAUCCGAGCGGCAGGAG
rfam:Candidatus Saccharibacteria bacterium 47-87 scnpilot_cont_500_p_scaffold_55, whole genome shotgun sequence.